CACGUAGGGUGCGAGCGUUGUCCGGAAUUAUUGGGCGUAAAGAGCUCGUAGGCGGUGUGUCGCGUCGGCCGUGAAAACCUGCAGCUUAACUGUGGGCGUGCGGGCGAUACGGGCAGACUUGAGUACUGCAGGGGAGACUGGAAUUCCUGGUGUAGCGGUGGAAUGCGCAGAUAUCAGGAGGAACACCGGUGGCGAAGGCGGGUCUCUGGGCAGUAACUGACGCUGAGGAGCGAAAGCGUGGGGAGCGAACGGG
rnacentral:rRNA from 1 species